rnacentral:lncRNA from 1 species
UUUCAUGCAGUUAUAUAUAGCUUUUGGUUGUCUUUUCCAGUGACAUUUAUACCUUUGGCUUACUUUUUGUCACACUGCCUCUUUCUUGUCAAUUUGCAUGAGCUGUUUCUAUUUUUGUCAUGUUGCAUGUUGUCUCACUGACCUAGUCUUGGGAGUCACUCUUCGUUAUUUCUGCAACGUCCUUCCAGUUACACCAGCGAGGCUUACUUAGUGUGGGAGGGACGCGAGCUCCAAGGAUCAGGGACUGUGAGGCUGUCUGUGAGGCUGGCUACCACGGAAGUUGCAAAUAGGGAUGAUUUUCCUACUUUUGUUCCUUAUCUUCUGACCUUUAACAGGUCAUUUUCUACAGAUCUGUCAGUCUUUUUAUUUGUACUUUUUAAAUUGGUAUUUUGCUAAGGAAGGCCUUCUUUACCUCAAGAUUGUAAAAAUUCUGGGGAAUCUUUGAGAACAAGCAUCCGAGAGUCAUUUUUCUGAUCUUUCUUCAUUUGCACUGGAGUGGCGAUGCCAGGCUCUCAGAGGGUGUCCCAUGCACGAUUUCUCCUCACCCUCGGAACAAACCUAGCAGACACCAUAGCACCUGGCAUGACGGCUGACUCCUUCUCCCAGAACUAACUAUGGGAAAGCCACAGAUGGAAGAGGGAAGUGUGGACGUGAGGAGCAUGAGCGCCUAGAGAAGCCAGGGAGCGGCAGGACCGCCAUGAGUCGCCUUCAGCAGUAAAGCACCUCCCUGUGUCUAUGGAAGUGUCUUCCACGCUCACCUGAUAGAGUUCGGAAGCAGAACACACAGCCCGUGCAGCCGUCCGCAAAGCCGCUUCUGUCUCAGCACCAGCUCAUCAGGGCAGCCCAGCACUCGGGCAGCUCCGCCUUGGGGAGAGUCCACACAAAUGUGCUUCACUUUUAAAUACUCAACAGAGGAAGAGAUCAGGACACUUCUGGAAGAUUGGCUGGGUUGCGGCAGAUGGUUUUGGUAAAUGCCAGACCUUUAACUCAGUGAAACGGCAAAGUCGGGAAGAAGAACCCACUGGCAGUGUUUGGAGUCACCCUCAGCCAUGGACAUGAACUCAGGGACGGAUGGUGCUGGCACCUUCAUGAGCAGAGCUGGUCCCAAACAGCAGGAGAAAUCGUUGGAAGGGUGACUUCCCCAGAGCUCCCGGGAAUACUGGAAUUCAGGCCUCUCACCCCAGCAUUGCGUAAGGUGUGAGGGCUGAGCUUCGGAAAUGCGAGCUUCCAGCCUGGCUCCUGGACCAGGAGGGCCCUGCCAAGCUGCGGGUGGCAACUGCUGCUGAAGUCCUCCCAGUCCCUGCGGCUGCAGCUCCUCCCCUCCUCCUCCCCCUCCUCCUCUUCUCCCUCCUCCUCCUCCCCCUCCUCUUCCCCUCCCCGGCUGCUCCUGCCACCCAAGCACCAGCGCUGGCAAGAGGCUGCGGAC